rnacentral:tRNA from 1 species
GGGAGAGGUGGCCGAGUGGUUGAAGGCGGCAGAUUGCUAAUCUGUUGUACGGUUCUUCCGUACCGAGGGUUCGAAUCCCUUCUUCUCCUA